GCCUUCGUGGUGUAGUGGUCUGCAUGCUCAACGCGUAACCGAGGAGGUCCGUGGUUCGAUUCCCGGCGAAGGCG
rnacentral:tRNA from 1 species